rnacentral:rRNA from 1 species
GUGCCAGCCGCCGCGGUAAUACCGGCAGCCCGAGUGAUGGCCGAUCUUAUUGGGCCUAAAGCGUCCGUAGCUGGCUGCGCAAGUCCGUCGGGAAAUCCACUCGCCCAACGAGUGGGCGUCCGACGGAAACUGCACAGCUUGGGACCGGAAGACCGAAGGGGUACGUCCGGGGUAGGAGUGAAAUCCUGUAAUCCCGCACGGACCACCGAUGGCGAAAGCACUCUGAGAAGACGGCUUCGACAGUGAGGGACGAAAGCUCGGGUCUCCAACCGGAUUAGAUACCCUGGUAGUCC